rnacentral:lncRNA from 1 species
AAACAUACAGAUGCCUGAGGUACAGAUCUCAGUCCAAACCGACUGGAUCAGAAUCUCUAGAACAGUAGUUUUCACUCUCGAUGUGCAUUGAAUUCAUCUUUCAUGCAUAUUCCAGAUUCUUUUAUGUCAUUUAGCUCCUAGGGCAGUGGAGGGACAGGAAUCAAGAAGAGGCUGUUGUUAUGUCAGUCGAAGACUUAGCCAGCUAUCAAGUCAUGAUCCGCUGUGGAGAAGACAUUGCAAAAAAUACUGGCUGAUAUCUGAGGAAGAGAAAACACAGAAGAAUCAGUGUUGGAAAUCUCUCUUCAUAGAUACUUACUCUGAUGUAGGAAGAUACAUUGACCAUUAUGCUGCUAUUAAAAAGGCCUGGGAUGAUCUCAAGAAAUAUUUGGAGCCCAGGUGUCCUCGGAUGGUUUUAUCUCUGAAAGGUGGAUUACCCAAGGCAUGAAAAACUAAGUGUUGGUAUCAAGAUGAUGCUGGCCUUAUAAAACGAGUCGAGAAGUGUUGCCUCUUUUUCUGUUCCCUGGAAGAGUUUAU